GACGAACGCUGGCGGCGUGCUUAACACAUGCAAGUCGAACGGAAAGGCCCUGCUUUUGUGGGGUGCUCGAGUGGCGAACGGGUGAGUAACACGUGAGUAACCUGCCCUUGACUUUGGGAUAACUUCAGGAAACUGGGGAUAAUACCGGAUAGGAGCUCCUGCUGCAUGGGGGGGUUUGGAAAGUUUCGGCGGUUGGGGAUGGACUCGCGGCUUAUCAGCUUGUUGGUGGGGGAGUGGCUUACCAAGGCUUUGACGGGUAGCCGGCCUGAGAGGGUGACCGGCCACAUUGGGACUGAGAUACGGCCCAGACUCCUACGGGAGGCAGCAGUGGGGAAUAUUGCACAAUGGGCGGAAGCCUGAUGCAGCAACGCCGCGUGCGGGAUGACGGCCUUCGGGUUGUAAACCGCUUUCGCCUGUGACGAAGCGUGAGUGACGGUAAUGGGUAAAGAAGCACCGGCUAACUACGUG
rnacentral:rRNA from 1 species